AGUGAACGCUGGCGGUAGGCCUAACACAUGCAAGUCGAACGGCAGCACAGUAAGAGCUUGCUCUUACGGGUGGCGAGUGGCGGACGGGUGAGGAAUACAUCGGAAUCUACUUUUUCGUGGGGGAUAACGUAGGGAAACUUACGCUAAUACCGCAUACGACCUACGGGUGAAAGCAGGGGAUCUUCGGACCUUGCGCGAUUGAAUGAGCCGAUGCCGGAUUAGCUAGUUGGCGGGGUAAAGGCCCACCAAGGCGACGAUCCGUAGCUGGUCUGAGAGGAUGAUCAGCCACACUGGAACUGGGACACGGUCCAGACUCCUCCGGGAGGCAGCGGUGGGGAAUAUUGGACAAUGGGGGCAAGCCUGAUCCAGCCAUACCGCGUGGGUGAAGAAGGCCUUCGGGUUGUAAAGCCCUUUUGUUGGGAAAGAAAAGCAGCAGGUUAAUACCCCGCUGUUCUGACGGUACCCAAAGAAUAAGCACCGGCUAACUUCGUG
rnacentral:rRNA from 1 species